CUUUUCUCCCCGGUCUUCACCCAAAGCCAGCCAAGAUACAAAAUCUAUUCCAAACAGCGCCGUUAGCGUCCAAGCAGCGUACCAGAAGAAAGCGAUCUUUACAGUCUUCCUUCGGGCGCAAAGGUGGAGACUCGGGAAAGAGGAAAGUCUCAGCGCGUUCCCAAACCCCCAGUUUUGCGCACCGGGAAAGUACUUGCUGCAAACUUGAACAAGGUUUUCUCUGUCUGGCCUGAGAUGCUGGAGGAGGAGGGGGGGUAACCCGAGCCGGGGCCGGGAUUCGAGCAGUUGCCUCUGUUGCAGCUGCUACUGCCGGGGCAGUGGCCGCUGGGGGGUUGUCGCUUGGCGCCGCGCGCAGUCCCUAGCGCAACUCACAGGAUCUUCCUGGCCCGACUCAGCCACCUCGAUAGUGAGUCGCCCCUGUCUGAGCGGCUGCCACUGCCUGGGGGGGUGACCCCGCCAAAGGCCUAGUCGGGAAGUUAGCAAAUGUUGGGGUCACCUCAGGGAGUGACCGAAGAGGUGGCAGAGUGGGUGUCCGCCUGAGUCCCAACCCACGAUGGGUGCGAGUUCCUCGUCAGAGUCCCUGAGAGGUGUUCUAGACCCUCUGUAAAGAUUUGUGGGACCGGGGCCGGGGCCCGAGCGGCCAACUGGAGUGGACGGCGCGUCCUCAGUGGUGUCAGGGGAGAAAGCGCAAAGGAAUAAAAUUAUUAAUACAGUAACUGUGUGUUUAACGAUACAGAGACGAACUGAUUUCCAAAGUGGAAAACAUUUUACAUUCUCACCAGCAAGAUAUGAGAAUUGCUUCACAUCCUCAUCAACACUGGGUAGUUUCUGUCUUCUUUUUUUGGCAUUCUAAAGAAAACUAAGGAACUCAAGAGGAGUCAUCAGAAUUCCUGCCAUGUGGGAGACAUCAACCCCACUGGUGACUUUUUUUUCUGCUCCACAUAUUAGAGCAUGUAUUUGGAUUACUUAGACCAAGCCAGGACAAUGAGAUUCAGUACUGAAACUUCUAUUCAAACUUAGAAAGAGAAUCUCUUUUCCAUGGGAUUGAAGCUGGAGUUCCUGAGAAGCUGCCUGAUGGAGACUGUAACAAAGAGGAAAGCAGAACUAAGACAUAGAGAGAAGGAAUUUCACUUUAUCCUGUAGAUCCAACCAUGCCUGCAGCUGAGCUUGUUCACUGGACUUGCCAGUGGACUUGCACGAGAUUAAAGGGAAAUGCUGGGGCAACUGGAUAGCCACAUCCAAAAAAUGAAGUUGGACCUCUACCUUACAUCAUACACAAAAAUUAACUCUAAAUGGAUCUAAGACCUAAUUGUACCUACUAAUCUGUAAAAUUCUUAGAAGACAACAUAGAGAGUAAAUCUUCAUAAUUUCAGAUUUGGCAACGGAUUUUUAGACAUGAUACCCCAAGCACAUGCAGCAAAAAAAAUUGGAUUAUUAGGCUUCAUCAAAAUUAAAAACUCUCAUAUAGCAAAGGGCUUUA